rnacentral:rRNA from 1 species
AACUUUACGGAGGGAAAACACAAUGACUGAGUGGCGGACGGGUGAGUAACGCGUAGGGAACCUGGCCCUUACAGGGGGAUAACAGAUGGAAACAACUGCUAAUACCGCAUAAGCGCCCAGCCUCGCAUGAGGCAGAGUGAAAAACUAAGGUGGUAAGGGAUGGCCCUGCGUCCGAUUAGCUAGUUGGUAUGGUAACGGCAUACCAAGGCGACGAUCGGUAGCCGGCCUGAGAGGGUGGACGGCCACAUUGGGACUGAGACACGGCCCAAACUCCUACGGGAGGCAGCAGUGGGGGAUAUUGCACAAUGGGGGAAACCCUGAUGCAGCGACACCGCGUGGGUGAAGAAGCGCUUCGGCGUGUAAAGCCCUAUCAGUGGGGAAGAAAAAGGACGGUACCCAAAGAAGAAGCACCGGCUAAAUACGUGCCAGCAGCCGCGGUAAUACGUAUGGUGCAAGCGUUAUCCGGAAUGACUGGGUGUAAAGGGAGCGUAGACGGUUGUACAAGUCUGAUGUGAAAGCCCACGGCUCAACUGUGGGAGUGCAUUGGAAACUGUAGAACUAGAGUAUCGGAGAGGCAAGUGGAAUUCCUAGUGUAGCGGUGAAAUGCGUAGAUAUUAGGAGGAACACCAGUGGCGAAGGCGGCUUGCUGGACGAAAACUGACGUUGAGGCUCGAAAGCGUGGGGAGCAAACAGGAUUAGAUACCCUGGUAGUCCACGCUGUAAACGAUGAAUACUAGGUGUUGGGGCCCGAAGGGCGUCGGUGCCGUCGCAAACGCAGUAAGUAUUCCACCUGGGGAGUACGUUCGCAAGAAUGAAACUCAAAGGAAUUGACG